UCAUGGUACAUCCUACUUCAGCGGUUGUCCAGGGUUCAAUUAUCACAUGAGUCUGAUGUAUUUAGAUGGAACCUACAUGGGAAUGGACAAUUCUUAGUGGAGUCUAUGUAUAGAGCGUUAAUCCAGUCUAAUGUGCGAGUUGAUAAUAAGAAGAAGAUGUGGAAAAUGAAGAUACCUCUUAAGAGUAAAAUCUUUGUAUGGUAACUUCGUCGCGGAGUUAUUCUUACUAAAGUUAACCUUAUUAAGAGAAAUUGGCACGGAAGCCUGCAGUGUGUUUUUUGUCACCAUGAUGAGACAAUAAAACAUUUAUUCUUCCGAUGCAAAUUGUCUCGUUCUAUAUGGUCAGUCAUCCAGAUAGCUUCUGGCUUGUAUCCUCCUUGUAGUGUUGCUAAUGUAUUUGGAAACUGGUUAAAUGGAAUAGAUCACAGGUUCAGAACUCUUUUUAGGGUGGGAGCGCUUGCCGUUAUUUGGUCGUUUUGGCUAUGUAGAAAUGAUAAGGUUUUUAACGAUAAAAGUACUUCUCUGAUGCAGGUUAUCUACAGAUGUACCGGGACUCUUCAUUUAUGGUCCUCUCUAUAA
rnacentral:rRNA from 1 species